CUAAUGCAGAAAUCAAAAUAAGGCUCUCACAGCAGAUGCUGCAGCGGAAAAGCGAAUAUAGGGUAGAAAUAAGCUGUCGUGUCGUGUUCAUUUUACAAAACGAAAGUUUAGUAAAUUUUGAAAGCUACAGAAUUAUGAAAAAAUUGCAUUUUUCGUAACAGAGGCGUAUAUAAUAUGCCAGGCAAUGUAUCUUUACUAUGAAACCCUUCAACGCCUCUAGGCUACAGAAUUUUCUUUGUUAAAAAUUUGCUGACAGCAGAGAUUUUUCCUUAUCAAUGAGCAGUGAAAUGCUUUUGCUAACUAUAAAAAUAAAUCCAAAUAAUUUUUUUGUGGUGAUGCAUAUGAUGGAAGCCUUGGGAGAAAUUAAGCACAGAAAAUAUUAGACAUGAGGUCAAUUGAAACAGAGUGCUAACAAAUAUAAACUGAAUUACUUUUUUUUAAUAUGGAUUAGAGAUGCAUCGAAUCCUAAAAUUUUAACAGGUCUGGGUAUCCAGUGAAAACUGAAUCUUUUAUCUGACCAGUGUAAGGAACAUGGUAAAAAUUGGAUUUAUUAUCUGGCUGGGUAGUUGACUGGAUUAUAACAUUUAUGCAAAGCAAUAAAAAAAUCAUAUAAUUUUCUAUUAUUAUACAAGAUAUAGUUCUAAGGAAAAUUAUUGUGUGCCUAUAUAAAUAAAUAAAAAAUGUUUUUUUUUUUCA